rnacentral:lncRNA from 1 species
UAACAACAAAGUCAAAAUUCCUCCAACAGAAUUCUCAAUAAUAGAAAGACAUGCGGCAACGGCGGAAGGAUAAAAGGGCGUAACGAAUAAAUGGAGAAACCUAAAAGAAAUUAAAAAAAAAAAAUAAAAAUAUAAUGAAUAUAUGACCAUGACCCUGGGAUGCUAUUAAAAUUUAUAAAAUUGACCACGCUGAAGGAUUUUAAAUGUGACUGAAAGAGAACUUUUGGAAGACAACGACUCUAACUGCUCCAAUAUAACAUCGGCAGGAUUCGCCGACUGAAGAGGAUGUGAUUUCAAAUGAGUGAGCAAACACGUAAGGGUAGGCAUGAUAACGCCAUAACUCUGGACCAGAGAUUGGAGUAUACAAAGCUCGUUCACUAGAUGUCUAGGGCAAAAAUGACCAAACAAAAGAGUAUCAGGGAUGUCAGGAGUGGAGCAUUCGAUAAGAAUAUGAGAAAGCUUUCUUUGAGCAAUUAAACUAGAGCAAGCUCUCCAAAUAUGAAUGUUAAGCGGUUCUGAGGCUACCAUAUCGGGUUCGACGUCCCCGAAAGCCAAAAAGUAUCUGUCGGAUAGGUUAUUCCUAAAUAAAAAUGCAGACGACUUUAGCUCUUGACCGAAAGAGGAGCCAUGAUUAACGGGAAAGGGCAAUAUAGACAAAGUAGUCGUUAAACUAGUAUACAUGGAAGGCUCAACCCUAAAAAGAGGUUAGUCUCAUUGUCAAAUGAGAAAGAGAAAUGCCGAUGGGGUUGAUUUAGCAAAUUCGCAUAAGAGUUAAAUUCAUUAACUUGUUUGAACAAGAACAAAAGAUAUUAGAACAGUGAAAGAAAAAGAGAUAUAAUUAUUAUUGCAAUCUUUGCAAUCUUUCAAAUAAUAUCACUGUCUCACAAAAAAAAUUGCACAAGUACCAUGAAACCAUGCAAAUCAACCAAAGCGUCAGCAGAUAGUUUACAUAUAUGCAAAAUAUAUAAAUGUGUGUUCAGCAAAUAGAUUUGAAGGAAAAAAAGACGAGCAUACAUCUCUUCAACUAAGAUGAAGAAAAUAAAAAAUUUUCAAAACUCAACAUUGCCUUCCCAACCCUCAACCUAUUCACUAAAACAAUGAAAAAAUUUUCAUUUGACAGAAGCUAUUGAGAAAGAAUUUACUUACACCUGAAAAUUAAUAAAUCCGGCUUUGUCGAGGGAAGGCCAUAAUAAGUUAUUAAACACGUGCUUUUUUAGGGUAUCGAUCACAUAGUUUAACCCAACUAUGGUUCUAGGAUUUUGAGGACCAAACAUGGCGCUAUUGAUGACGGCUCCAUAGAUGUGGUCUAAAUGACAGUGUGUGAUGAGAAACGUUUUAAUCCUUUGCUCUGAAAGGUGCCAGGCUUUUGCGUAUGAUUCAUUUUCCACCGUAUAAUUGUCAUACUUGGUGAUGGAAGACCAAGAAUCGACGGACAGGUGUUUUGACUGGAUCAACUCAACCAACGCCGAUAGGUGGCUUCCACCAUCCAGCGAUAUAAUUUCUUGAAAUGCGCCAUCAGAAAUCAAAUGACUGCUACAGCAAGACUCCAAUGGACCCCCCUAAUAAGUCAGCAUGGCUCUCAAUGCAUAAUGUUUGAAUUCUUACAUUUUGUCCCUGUUUUCGUUAACGUUAGUCGAAAUUCUUCAAAAAAAAAAAUAUUUUUCGUUUUUCAUACCAAUGAAUAUAAUGUAAAAGAAUUUUCUACGAGUCCUACUACUUGAUCGGUUUGAAAUUCAGCUUCUUUGAUUUCGAGUGCUGCAUGCAUGGCUAGGCUUAUGGAGAGUUACAGAUCUCCGGUGCAUGCACUAGUCUACAAAAACAUGUCGGUUGACGUCAUAUUUAUUACAAGCAUACAUUUACUACCGUAGAUUUAGGGUACGAUAAACGAUGCUCGAAAUGUGGAGAAACUCGGGGUAUAGUGUAGUGUGUUAAUUAUCCUUAUUCAUGUGCCCGCUUGGUGAAGAAGUAUGCUAUGAAUAAAUAAAAGGAUGGAAGUCGUUAAGUGGAGAGGAACGAAGUUAUGCUUUGCUGCUUUAAGUAAGAUAUUAAGAAAAAAAAUGCGACUUUGAUGAAACACGUUUGACAUGUAUCACUUCCUUAUGAGAGCAAUUUUUCCGAAGGUUCAAUAUACACCCUUAAAGAAUGUCACGUAACGAGAAGAGAGAGAGCUAUUUUUUAUAUAAUUCCAGAGGUUUCCUUUUUUUAUCGUUUAACAUUUCUGAGGGGAAGUUUUGUUGCUUGUUUAACAAUGUCGGCAGAAGUUUAUGCCCUUCUCUUUAAGAGACCGACUAGCAAACAAUUGUAAACUAUCGGACACUAAUAUGUUUUUUAAAAUAAUAAUUCAUUAUACAUACAAAAAACUGAACCUCGUGUAAUAUAGAUUUCCGUAUGAACUUGGUUCUUUAUCGGACUUUGAGGAUUCGUAAGUCCCAGUCAUUUUAUCUGAUUAUGCUAAACUAACUCUUACUUUUUCAUAGAGUACUUAGAUAGUUCCAGUCAGUGCUGCUGAGAACCAGUUUGCAUCAGUUAGGGAGGGUGGUAAUCGUUGUAAGAGCUUUCAAAAUAUGAUCUCCUUUUCCUUUAUGCAAGAUAAUCAAAAGAAACAUUCCUAAAUUACCUAUUUGAAGAAUCUUUUGUAUGUGCCGCUGAAAUUGCUUUCCAUUGAACUUUUUGUUGGUCUAUGGAGAGAAAUCAUCAUAGGUGCAUAGCAGCCUUUA